UACGUAGGGGGCAAGCGUUGUUCGGAUUCAUUGGGCGUAAAGGGUGCGUAGGUGGUUGGGUAAGUCAAAUGUGAAAUCCCGGAGCUCAACUCCGGAACUGCAUUCGAUACUGCCCGGCUCGAGGAUUGGAGAGGAGACUGGAAUUCACGGUGUAGCAGUGAAAUGCGUAGAGAUCGUGAGGAACACCCGUGGCGAAGGCGGGUCUCUGGACAAUUCCUGACACUGAGGCACGAAGGCCAGGGGAGCAAACGGG
rnacentral:rRNA from 1 species